rnacentral:rRNA from 1 species
UGCAAGUCGAACGCCCUCUUCGGAGGGAGUGGCAGACGGGUGAGUAACGCGUGGGAAUCUACCUAGUGGUGGAGGAUAACUUCGGGAAACCGGAGCUAAUACUCCAUAAGCCCUUCGGGGGAAAGUUUUUUCGCCAUUAGAUGAGCCCGCGUUAGAUUAGCUUGUUGGUAGGGUAAUGGCCUACCAAGGCGACGAUCUAUAGCUGGUCUGAGAGGAUGAUCAGCCACACUGGAACUGAGACACGGUCCAGACUCCUACGGGAGGCAGCAGUGGGGAAUAUUGCACAAUGGGCGCAAGCCUGAUGCAGCCAUGCCGCGUGUGUGAUGAAGGCCUUAGGGUUGUAAAACACUUUCAUCGGUGAAGAUAAUGACGGUAGCCGAAGAAGAAGCCCCGGCUAACUCCGUGCCAGCAGCCGCGGUAAUACGGAGGGGGCAAGCGUUGUUCGGAAUUACUGGGCGUAAAGCGCACGUAGGCGGACUGAUCAGUUGGGGGUGAAAUCCCGAGGCUUAACCUCGGAACUGCCUUCAAUACUGUCAGUCUUGAGAUCGGAAGAGGUGAGUGGAAUUCCUAGUGUAGAGGUGAAAUUCGUAGAUAUUAGGAAGAACACCAGUGGCGAAGGCGGCUCACUGGUCCGAUACUGACGCUGAGGUGCGAAAGCGUGGGGAGCGAACAGGAUUAGAUACCCUGGUAGUCCACGCCGUAAACGAUGAGAGCUAGCCGUCGG